GACGAACGCUGGCGGCGUGCUUAACACAUGCAAGUCGAACGGAAAGGCCCUGCUUUUGUGGGGUGCUCGAGUGGCGAACGGGUGAGUAACACGUGAGUAACCUGCCCUUGACUUUGGGAUAACUUCAGGAAACUGGGGCUAAUACCGGAUAGGAGCUCCUGCUGCAUGGUGGGGGUUGGAAAGUUUCGGCGGUUGGGGAUGGACUCGCGGCUUAUCAGCUUGUUGGUGGGGUAGUGGCUUACCAAGGCUUUGACGGGUAGCCGGCCUGAGAGGGUGACCGGCCACAUUGGGACUGAGAUACGGCCCAGACUCCUACGGGAGGCAGCAGUGGGGAAUAUUGCACAAUGGGCGGAAGCCUGAUGCAGCAACGCCGCGUGCGGGAUGACGGCCUUCGGGUUGUAAACCGCUUUCGCCUGUGACGAAGCGUGAGUGACGGUAAUGGGUAAAGAAGCACCGGCUAACUACGUGCCAGCAGCCGCGGUGAUACGUAGGGUGCGAGCGUUGUCCGGAUUUAUUGGGCGUAAAGGGCUCGUAGGUGGUUGAUCGCGUCGGAAGUGUAAUCUUGGGGCUUAACCCUGAGCGUGCUUUCGAUACGGGUUGACUUGAGGAAGGUAGGGGAGAAUGGAAUUCCUGGUGGAGCGGUGGAAUGCGCAGAUAUCAGGAGGAACACCAGUGGCGAAGGCGGUUCUCUGGGCCUUUCCUGACGCUGAGGAGCGAAAGCGUGGGGAGCGAACAGGCUUAGAUACCCUGGUAGUCCACGCUGUAAACGGUGGGUACUAGGUGUGGGGUCCAUUCCACGGGUUCCGUGCCGUAGAUAACGCUUUAAGUACCCCGCCUGGGGAGUACGGCCGCAAGGGUAAAACUCAAAGGAAUUGACGGGGCGCCGCACAAGCGGCGGAGCAUGCGGAUUAAUUUGAUGCAACGCGUAGAACCUUACCUGGGUUUGACAUGGAUCGGGAGUGCUCAGAGAUGGGUGUGCCUCUUUUGGGGUCGGUUCACAGGUGGUGCAUGGCUGUCGUCAGUCUCGUGUCGUGAGAUGUUGGGUUAAGUCCCGCAACGAGCGCAACCCUUGUUCAUUGUUGCCAGCACGUUAUGGUGGGGACUCAGUGGAGACCGCCGGGGUCAACUCGGAGGAAGGUGGGGAUGACGUCAAGUCAUCAUGCCCCUUAUGUCCAGGGCUUCACGCAUGCUACAAUGGCUGGUACAGAGAGUGGCGAGCCUGUGAGGGUGAGCGAAUCUCGGAAAGCCGGUUUCAGUUCGGAUUGGGGUUUGCAACUUGACCUCAUGAAGUUGGAGUCGGUAGUAAUUGCAGAUCAGCAACGCUGCGGUGAAUACGUUCCCGGGGCUUGUACACACCGCCCGUCAAGUCAUGAAAGUUGGUAACACCCGAAGCCGGUGGCCUAACCGUUGUGGGGGAGCCGUCGAAGGUGGG
rnacentral:rRNA from 1 species